CAAUGGCGGCGGCCGCCUCGGGCUGUCCAUUCAAUUCCUUCCGCUACAACACUUCGCUGUGCGCCUGCGAUCCCGGAUACCUCUACAACGCCACCACCAAAGCCUGCGAGCUCUUCCGCGUUUCCGCCGCCGAGUGGGUGGUGGGUUCCGGGGUUGACUACUCCAUCUCGAUCAUCCCCGAGAGCAUAUUCUCCUUCAACUCCAUCAGGAAGUUCACGCAGUCGCAGGCCAUCUUCCUCGAGGCCACCCUCGUCAUGCUCCUUUCCUGGCUUGUUUUCUGCUUCUUCGUCCGCUUCGGGAGGCUCCGCGAUGGCCGCAGCGUCUGGUUCCGCAUCCGCUGGUGGAUUAGCCGCCUGGACAUCAGUUUCGCCACUCGUCAUUGGCUGGAUGAUCAGAAAGUUGUUGUGAAGCGGAAAACAGAACUUGGUGGAACUUUCUCAGUCGCAAGUUGGAUUCUUUUUAUUGGUUUAUUUUCUGCGUUGCUCUAUCAAAUUAUAUCUAGGAGAAAUGUUGAGGUUCAUAAUGUGAGAACCACAAAUGCUCCUGAUUUAGCGUCCUUCAUGAAUGACAUGGAAUUCAAUAUCACUACCAUUUCUAAUAUGAGUUGUUCCCAUUUACAAGGCAUUGGAACUGUGGCCAUUGGGAAUCCAGGCUUCAUUGACUAUAGGGUUGCUGCUCUAUCAACUUUUGCUAACUACUCUUGCCAGAAUACCAGUAAGGGCCCAACUGUAAGUCUUAAGUGCAGCAAUUGUCAGCGUAUUCCAGACAGUGCAUAUAUAUCAUGGCAGUUUGUUGAUCUUCCAAGUGACCCUGCAACUGCUGUGGGAUUUCAGUUCAACAUCACCGCCAAGAACCGUGCCAGUAGAAAACAUUUGAGUUUUGUCAGUGGGAUACUGAAUAAUGGAAGCAACAGUGAAAAUGAACCAAUUACUUAUAGAGGCCCUGCUCCAAAUAUAUUGAAAUUUAAUUUAUUUCCUCGAGUUUACCGCAACUUCCAUGACCUCAAGCUCAUUCAACCACUGUUUCAUGAAUUUGUCCCGGGUUCAUAUUACAGUGACAUAAAUCAUCUCCGAUCUUCACUUCAGAGCUCUGAUAAUGGACGAAUCAAUAUCACAUUUUGUGUCAAUUUUCUUUCAGCCUACAUUGUAGAGAUUGAUAAUCAAAACAUUUUGGGGCCUGUGGGCUUUCUUGCUGAUCUUGGAGGCCUUUAUUGCAUUAGUAUUGGGAUUUUCUUCUACCUCUUGGUUCAAUGUGAAUACAGAUUCAAGAAGUUCCGUUAUGAAGAUAGUGUUAUGCGAAGGAUCAGAAACCAGCAAAAAGCUCAAGUCCACUGGGAUAAAUUGAGAAAAUACGUGAUGUACACUUAUGGUGCCAAAUUGGAUGAUAAUAGCAAGAGUUUCAGGAAAGAGACGUGUUGCUCUAGUCUCAUGAUAGAGUCAUUGCACAGAAAUGGAAUGGCACAUAAGCAAAGGAAGCUAAGCAGAAUGGAUUCUAUCAGUUUCAACAGAAAAGCCAAUUUGCCUAGUGAGAAGAAGUCUGCUCCAGAGCAGGUCAAUACCCAAUCUUGCGUACUUAAAUCUAUAUCAAACAGGGAAGGAAUGGUAUCAUAUCCCAGGGGUGAACUGGGUAAGGAUUUCGCUGUAAAAAAUGAAACACGUGAACAUCUUGUGGAUAUGCAAGAGGGAGGUGUGCUUAAGCCUCAAACAUUUCCUAUUCCUGACAAUUGUCUGCUUCCUCUUCCACCUUCAUUAGAAUUUAAGGCUGGUUCUGAAUUCAAUCUCUCUGAUGUCAAAAAGAAUCUCCAAAGUCUUUACGACUAUAAUGUCAUGCUGAGGGAGAGGUUAGUGGCUGCUGAAUCUAUGCUGCAAUCUUUGACACACAAGUCUUCAACUUCUGGAGACUCAAGUAGCAGCAUUGCAAAGUAGUCAAAUGACUGAAACAAUCUGCAAACCUCAAGAUGCUCAAAUUUCUGCCAGCAUUUCAAGAAUGUGUUGCAAUAUGUUUUGGGCAUGCCAACCUGGGAAGGAGUAUUACAGAAGUUGUUGAAGGAUACCGCAUCAUUAUUGUAAGAACUGCUUAUUUCGGUGGCUAAUAGUAUGUGGUAAAAGGGAGAAGCUAUAUGUCGAAAGGGGCGAUCAACUUUCUCAUGAAUCAUGUCGAGGUCAUCUGGCAUGGAAAGCACUUCUGUUGAUUGCACUUGUCUUGUAGCUUUUGUGCAUGCUGUCCGCGAUGAUACUGGGAAAGAUUAUCGAGCACUCUUGCAAGGGCAGGGCUUUGUCUUUUGGUAAAUGAAUCCUCUAAUCCGGAUCUUUUGAUCAGGCAAAAUAUUUUGAUCGUGGAGCACUACUCUUAGGUAACAAAGGAGUUGGCAGGCUGCUUAUUACCUUAUGUCCAACAGGGCACAUGGUACACUUUGGUUGACGAGACACAUGCCACAUCAUGAUAAGGACAUGGGUCACAUUGGGAUAGAUCCUUUCUCAUAAACGAUUUUGAGGACAAAUUUAUAAAUGAGUUAAAUUUGGGAUGCCCCUUAUCAGUCCUUAUAAUUGUUAUUGGGUUAUUUGGGCUCUAGGCAAUAAAAGUAGCACUCACAAGUGCAUAUUUUGUUGUUCUAACUCUACCAGGUAAAAA